ensembl:lincRNA
CUUAUGAACAAAGCCUUGAGUUGAACCUAAUUGCUGGCCACUUGUGAAUGAAUUCAGUUUGUAAGUCAAGGGUCCAUUGUAUUGUGGCCCAAUGAUACUUAAAAUUGAGGUUUUGGUACUUAACUAUUUGGGCAAAUAUUUGAACUCUAUUACAUGUUAACUACUUGAAUCCUUAAAGCAUUUGUUUCCAUCAGCCCGCUUCUCUUUAGUGGAGGAUUUGAGAUAAUCUUUGCCUAAGAGUUGACAAAGGAAACAAGAAGAUCCUCACUGCCUCAGGGAGUGGAAGUUGGAACAGUUUGGGGGCCCCAGUGGAAGACACUCGGUGUGAACAUCUAAAUCUGCUUGGAUGGGAAUGCCGGCCAAACACUGGACAGGGCUGUGACAGAAAAGAAAACAUGCCUGGGAUGUUUGAGCCAUUCCUAGGAGAUCAGCUGGAAGCAGAGCUUUGCUGUGUUGUGUUUCUUUCAACUGACAGAAGGGCCGAGGAAGGACCCACUGUGAAACUGAACUGUAAGCCGUGUGGCUGAGAAGACAGCUGCUUUUAACUCACUGUGCCUGGUCCAGCAGUGGCUGCGCCAUGAGGACGCUCACACCUGACCGCGCUUCCCCUUCACCUAGAGAAUGGCUGAACGUUGCGUUUUGUUGCUAAUUCUCUGCUGCAAGUCGUAAAGUCUUAAACACGUGCUCGCAACCAGUUCUUCUGAGAGUUGUGCCUUGAAAUCUGCUUCCCCGAGGUCGUCCCCGCACCCAUGCAGCCUGGGGGACAGGGUGGGCAGGACGCAGGUAGGGCCCCCCAGGGAUCACCAGGAGAAGCUGGCAGCCAGGCAGGAGGUGCGGCCUGAUCAUACCCACGGCUGAUCUAUUUCACCUUCAUGACAACCUCUGCCUUGACCUUCCCUCUUCUUGCUGGGACAAAGUGCUUGGCACUGAUGACUUAAAGGACGAGAGGUGUAUUUGUCUGCAGCCAGCUGGCUCCAAGGCAGGGGUCACAGCAGAGAGGCCGGCAGAGGGGAAGCUGCUCAGUCACAGUGGUCAGGAAGUAGACAGGAGGGAGGUUAACCUCUCUGGCCACAGCCUGCCGACCCA